GGGCUUAUGGUCUAGUGGUUAUGACGUCGCCUUCACACGGCGGAGGUCGCCAGUUCAAAUCUGGCUAAGCCCA
rnacentral:tRNA from 1 species